CCAGUCGGGUUGGAGUUUAUUUCUGCCAGAGCCUGGAGGCUGGGAGGGUAAAGGACACUCCUUUAGUCCCAGAGGGAAGCUCCGAACCCUCAGAGCAACCAGAAGGGAGGGCAGAGCAUGGGCAGCAGCAGGAGUGAGAGGGGUCCCCUUGUCCUGCCCCUUUGCAAGGGUUCAAGGCUGGUGGAGGCCUGGGGCUUCUGUCGCUCAGGAGUUCAGGGGUGGACGCAGAAAUGGGGGAAGGAGAGUGGCUACGUAGAGAGUGAGAGCGAGAUUCCUAAAAAGAUGCACAGAGAGACCCUCAGAGAGAAGCAGAGGGAAUGGGUUGCACUGGCUGAGGAUGGUGGAGGAGCCGUCUCACUCCCUUCCUAAUGUCUAUAGAUCAAUAACGAGGGAAGAAAGGAGGACAGGGAGCUGAUGGAAACACAGCUUGCCAACUGUACCCAGUCCCCCAACAAGC
rnacentral:lncRNA from 10 species